UUGUGCAAGAUGGAGAAGCAGGGCACGUGCAAUACUAACUCAUGAACACUACACGGGGCGUGAACUCGGAGAAUCAUAUUCUCUUCUGCUUCAUUUCACCAACAAGAGAGAUCCUAUUAGUUAGUUCUUCAUGUGCCCCUCUUCCCCAUCAUGACAA
rnacentral:pre_miRNA from 1 species